rnacentral:rRNA from 1 species
GAAUUUUGGACAAUGGGCGAAAGCCUGAUCCAGCAAUGCCGCGUGCAGGAUGAAGGCCUUCGGGUUGUAAACUGCUUUUGUACGGAACGAAAAGCUUUGGGUUAAUACCCUGGCGUCAUCACUGUCCCGGAAGAAUACGCACCUGCGAACUCCGUCCCCGCAGCAGCGGUAAUACGUAGGGUGCAAGCGUUAAUCGGAAUUACCGGGCGUAAAGCGUGCGCAGGCGGUUUUGUAAGACAGAGGUGAAAUCCCCGGGCUCAACCUGGGAACUGCCUUUGUGACUGCAAGGCUAGAGUACGGCAGAGGGGGGUGGAAUUCCGCGUGUAGCAGUGAAAUGCGUAGAUAUGCGGAGGAACACCGAUGGCGAAAGCAACCCCCUGGGCCUGUACUGACGCUCAUGCACGAAAGCGUGGGGAGCAAAC